rnacentral:rRNA from 1 species
UACGUAGGUGGCAAGCGUUGUCCGGAUUUACUGGGCGUAAAGAGCGCGCAGGCGGUCGUUCAAGUCGCGUGUGAAAGCCCCCCGGGCUCAACUGGGGAGGGUCACGCGAUACUGAUCGACUCGAAGGCAGGAGAGGGAAGUGGAAUUCCCGGUGUAGUGGUGAAAUGCGUAGAUAUCGGGGAGGAACACCAGUGGCGAAGGCGGCUACCUGGACCGGUUCUGACGCUGAGGCGCGAAAGCUAGGGGAGCAAACGGG